AGCACCUCUCUGUGGUGCAGUGGGUCAGUGUCUCUGGCCAUUAACCAGAAGGUUUGUGGUUCAAGCCCACCCAGGGCUG